rnacentral:lncRNA from 9 species
GCUGCUGAUCCCUUAAUGCAGAUCCAGAACUUCCUGUCCUCGGUGUAGCGAUUUCACAGCACAGGGCGUCCUGGCUGGGCCUCCCCCACCCGCAGGCCUGCGGUCACGGCUCGUGCUGGUUGUCUGGCCUUCCUCGAGGGAGGGCUCUUGGAAACAUAUUUCUAGAAGGUGGCCUCCUCCAGCUCCUGCCCUUCCCCACCUGGCUGCAGCAUCCUGGGGCUCAGGCCAGAAGCCACACUUUAUAGGAAUCUGGACCAUUCUGUCCCUAAACAUAAAAUGAUGAGAGAGAAACCAGACCACCACUGCAGGCACUUCCAUUCAGAAAAGGAAAGAACUGGAGACACAUAGCCAUCACUGGUACAGGACAAUGCUAAAACCCAGCUGGGUAAGUGUUUUCAGGUCCCUCUACUCUAAGGCAGGGAAUUUUCCUGAUUAGAACCCAGUUCUGGGAGUUCCCGUCGUGGCGCAGUGGUUAACGAAUCUGACUAGGAACCAUGAGGUUGCGGGUUCGGUCCCUGCGCUUGCUCAGUGGGUUAACCAUCCGGCAUUGCCGUGAGCUGUAGUGUAGGAUGCAGACGAGGCUCGUAUCCCGAGUUGCUGUGGCUCUGGUGUAGGCCGGUGGCUACAGCUCCGAUUCGACCCCUAGCCUGGGAACCUCCAUAUGCCGCGGGAGCGGCCCAAGAAAUAGCAAAAAAAAAAAAAAAAAAAAAAAAAAAAAGAACCCAGUUCUGCUCCUUGGAAGUGGUUCCCUAGUCCAUUGUGGUCUUUGACUCAUGGUUCUGCCCUCUGGGCUCUUGGCUCCCCACCUCCAAGACGUUAUUUCUUUUUCCUUAAAAAUGGC